CUGUCUUUUGUACCAAGCCUUUUUAUAAUGUGAAUUUCAUGUGAUUUAGACAUGAAGCGCAGUUUUGUUUGUUAUCUAAUGUAUGAUUAAAAAUGUUUAUAAGAAACACCUUCAAUAAUGUCAAUUUGUUUAUAACACAAACCACAAACACUGAAGCAAAGUUAAUUUUCAACUGCCCGGAUUGCACGGUGAAAUCAAAAGCAUUCAGUAUAUACCCUGCGUAUUUCCCUAGCUGAAGAUGGUUUAUUCAUCGUGUCUACUUGUCAUAUUCGGUGUGUUUUUGACAUCUUGUACAGGACAAUGGCUCCUUGGUCCUAAAUUUUACAGAAACCUGAAUCUAAGGACCAGAAAUCUUUUUCAUGUGGCCGCUUAUGUGCCAGUAAUUGGAGAAAGCAUAGUGAGGGAACGGGCGGCUAAACUGGCAAACGAUCUGCAAAGAGCGCAACAAGGAGCGCCUUAUGGUAACGGAGGGACAGUUUUUAUCACAGCUGCUGGAGGUCUAGGAUAUGCAUUCAAUUCUUCCGAUGGUUCGUUCACACUGUACGCUUUAGGAAAUGGAAGUCCACCACGUGGCUACAUGUACCAUGUCGGAUCACAUGGCACAACGUAUCAGAAAUGGUGAUUAAUAGUCCCAUGUUCAUAGCUUUCAAAUCAUACCGUGAGCCAGUGGAACUCAUAUCGAAUCAAUAUAAAUUGUUACAUGACAAUUGAACUGUCCUACAAUAAGACGUUUGUUUUGUGAUAAUGCUUUGAAAUGAGCUAACAACGAUAUAAAAUAGAAAAAGUUGAAACUCCACAGGUCGCUCAACACAACAAAAACGAAAAUGUUGCAGGCUCGGUUUGAUUGAGCCUGUUCAUGGACGGUAGUGGAAAUACAUGCUACCGUCCACGCCCUCUAGCCCCGGGACGAGCAGAACUCAACAUUUACACAUGCUAAGAGUACAAAAAACAAUUUAGAGACAUCCGCAGAUGUGUUCAUACGGCGGUGCACAUGGAACCUUCAAUGCUACACACUGAACCUUCAAUGCUACACUAGUGUGUAAUUCCAUGAACCCUAGCUUUUCACUGAGAAAAUGAAUUAACGCAACACUUGUAAUUUAAAAAAAAUACUUAUUUAGAAUUAUAGUUUAAGAUAAAACAAAUAUGCUUUAAAACAUAUUCAAAAUUUUAACAAAAUCGAAUCAGUCAACUUGAUAAUAUUUUUUAAAAUUAUUUUACGGUUUCAAUCCAUUUUAAAGUCCAAAAAAUGCAUAUAAAUUUCAGGAAUUUCUAAAAGCUGGAAAAGCGUUAUUACAAAACAGUGUGUGGAAAAUUAAAAAAAAAAUGUAUUCAGUAAGAAAAAAACAAGUAGUAUGUUAGACCAUUUGUUAAGUGUAUGUUAUUACGUGAAAAGUGGUUUUCAUAAAAUGAUAUUUAUGAAGAUAUGUAACUAGUGGCGAAAUUAACAGCAAUAACAUACAUUUCUUACGUAUGGAACAGACUGUUAACAUUUAAAAUUAGCGAAAGUAAAAAGCAUAUCUCAUAUUAAAUACCUUCAUCUAAACAUUCACCAUAUUACAAUGAAGGCAAAGGUCACUAGAAACGAAUAUCUUUACAGACUUGCUUGCAAAGAGUCUGUUGUUAUAUUGUAUAUAUCUGUAUAUAGUGAGUAGGUUAUAGGAAAAAGAUGUUUCCUUUUGUGAAGAAAGCACCAAACUUUGUAUGUAACUAUUUUGAAGUAUGCUGAUUCCAAAAAAAGGAGGAGACACGCAGCUCGCUAACCACAAUUAGCUUAAAAUGAGGCCCCAAAAAGGGACCCAUAUUUUAUUUAUUUUAAUCAUAUAUUUUUGAAAACAAUGUCCAAAAGGUUAAUUUAUAACCUAAAUAAGUAACUAUUAGUGACAUAAUAUUUAUUUAGUUACAUUUUAUACACAUUGUAUAUAUCGGACACUGAAGUUAAUGACAUAGAUGAGGCCCUAAAAGGGGGGAAAUUGUUUAAAAAAUUUUAUUUAUGGGAUGACUUUAUUUUUAAGUGUGAAUACCAUAUCACUCAGGUAAACAAAACUAAUUUUAGUAUUUAAUUAUAUCAAAAUAUUAUUUGAACAUUCUUUACAUUUUGAGGUUCAUUAAGGGUACUUUAUAAAACAAGCUCACAUAUACGUUCAUACUGUAAUUCAUAUAAUCGAUUGUAUAAUUCUUAUACUGUACAUGGGAUACCAAUAGUUCGAUUUCACUAUGAAUAUUAUUAUCAAGCAUUCAAAAGAGCAGCUAAAGAAAGGGGUAUUUUGUGUUUUUCUUUUAUUUCAAUAUCUAAUUUAAAUUCAUGUAAAACGUAAUAUACAAAACAUAAUUUAUAUGUUUUUCAAGACAAUUAAUGACUUCAAGCUAAAGCAUACGAUAAUACUAAUGCUUUUUUUACAAGAAAAGAAAAUGGAAUGUGAACUAAAUGUAUUGUUGUAUUUAUUAUUGCUAAUUUAUACUAUAUUCAGUAAUACUAAUUUAUUUGAAUUUGAUUAAGAUUUCGAGUUUUAGAAUCAAUCUAAAUUCCGCUUUCUUGAAAACAUUACUGGUAUUGUAUGAUAGAUUAACCUUUGUACGGUUUGAACCAACGACAUUCCUAUUGAUCUGACAGCACAUUUACCCCUAGAUGGUCUCUCUCACUGAACCCCUCCACAGAGCUUAUAACUAUAAACAUUUCUAAAGUGCAGUGAUUUACUGCAGACAUCCCAAGAACGCAAAUAGUUACAUAUAAAAACUUGUUUGAGAUGAAAAUACGAUACAGAAAUAAAGAAAGUCAUGCCAAAUAGAGUUGGAUAUAAAUUUUUGAAGGUAAAGAUUAAUCGAAUAGUUUAUAAACAAUGUCUCCUUAAAAUAUACUGAUCUACAGCUGUCUUGCAUAUUAAGGCUUUUGACAAAUUACGAAACAGUGUAUUUUCUGUCUUAGGUUCCAAAUCGGCCUACAUAAUGAUAUCAUGUAUCUGAUAAAGAAAUGAUCAUUCAGAAAAUUGUACUUGUGGGUCAGAGUUGGGUAUAAUAGCCGAUGGAGCUCAUUCAGCACGGGUAAAAUGACCACUGCAUCCAUCCUAGUUAUAAUCAUAGCUGAUAUAUUAUGCUCUUUUUCCAGUACAGUGUUAGGAAUAUCUCUCAGUUGCGCAAUUAUAAGUCCUAGAAUAAUUGCUUGUUUAGGGUAAUGUCCCAAGCAUUUUUCGCAAACUUAAAAAAGUUGAAAGAGAAGUUACGAUCAGGUUACCCUUAACAAACAACUUUUAGGUUUGCCAGUAUUUCACUCUCUAGCACAAAGGUCUCCAAAUAGUACACAAGAUUGGCUUGAUACAUUUAUAUCUGCCUUUGUAUGUAUUCUUGUAGUUACACUGAUGAGCUUCCUCCAACUUAUAGCAGCUAAUUGUGAAGCAUAUUACAUAAUCAAAGCCAAGUACCAGUUCUCAUGACCAUUUCCAGUUGACAGGAUUAGCAAUGUCUAUGUAUGCUAUAAAUGCCUGUUUACAACCUGCUUGAUACAAUGUUAUUUGCUACAUACGUGAAUAUCUAUUAGGGGGUUGAUUUCAAUCCGUCUAAUCGCUUAAGAAAAUAUAUUCUCUGUCCUCAUUUUGAUAUUUCUUUGCAUGAUAGAACAACCUAUCCUUCCAGUUGUCAUGUGCGCUUCUUGAAUCUUUUAACACGGUAUAACCAUAAGUAAGGAUAUCCUAUGCCUUGCAAACAUAGUGAAACAGUAUCACAACCAGGUAAUGCAUUAUAAAGAGUGUUAGCCUUAAGUCUACGUUCUUUGAUGUGUCUUUUCCUGUUGGAUUUUUGUCCUUGAUUUUAUGCCAAAAAACAGUUUGGAACGGCCAAAUGAAGCUACAGCUAACAACUAGCAAACUGUUUUACUUUAGAAAAUAACAGUGCGUAUCAGUGUUGGUUGCUCGUAACAUUAUCCCUUUGUGGUUUUGUUCUUAUGCAUCUGCGGCAAACAAAUAUGUACCAUGUCGCAUAUCAGUUAGUGCACCACAUGUUGUGACUUCAAACUUUUGGAACAAUGCAACAUGGUCAUGUCAUAAACAAAGGUAUAAAACUGUAAGUCAGUAAAUGGUGCCAGAUAAAAUUCUAGUUUCUAAAGGAAAUAGACAGCAUGAAAACAUCUAAAUUACCUGAUGUUCACAUUUGUAAUAUUUAUAUAUGAAGCCAUGUUUGGGGAGAGACAUUAAGGUAUGAACAUACUAAAUAGCUGGCCUUCUUUAUUCUAGAUAAAAUUGACAAAUUUCAAAUGACUACAGCACAGAGCAGGACCCGUUUUAAAUGUCUGUAGCUUACAUUUUUAUAUUUUCUUAAAGAAUAUUAUGAGUGCUGAAAAAAAGCACUUGACUUUCAUUACUCUGUACACUUCGUAGAACCAAUUAAAUGCUAGUACAAUAACACAUUCAUGUAUAAGAAAUAUAAAUUUGUCAAACAAAUGUAUUAGAGAAAUACUGUGAAACCUAUUACAAUUCUUAGAUAUCUAUUAAAAGUGUGUAAAUAUCAGUUUCUUUUGUUUUAUGGGUCUCUGGAUGAGUCAUUUGAUUUGAGAACAUUAUUAUGUCGUAUACUGUUAUGUAAUGAUACAAAAAUAGUAUAGUACUGGGUUGGAAAGAGGCCUUUUGCUGGCCUCUGUUAUAUAAGGAUGAAAAAACCCGUUAUAACGAUUGAAAGAAAUUAAUUUGCCCUUAAAAUGUGAUUUUUAACAAUUUCCCCUUUAAGGACCUCAUAUUAUUUUCCUGAGUCAUGUAUAUUGAAUGUGUAUAAAAUGUAAUUGAAUAUGUUUUGUGUCAAGGGUUAUAACUGGUUAAGAUAAUGAAUUAACAUUUUUGAAAUUGUUCAAGAUAUAUUUAAUUGAUAUAAAUAAAAGGUAGUUCCCCAUUGGGGCCUCAUGUUUUGGUCUAUUCAAGCCAACAAAUCGUAUAUGUAGUCCAUUUCUGAUCCAGUAUACUUUAUAAUACUUAAAUACAAACUUUCAUGCUUUCUUCUUAGGAAACAUCUUUUUACACGCAGUUUUGAAAUUAAACAUACAGUAAAAUACGAUUACCUCCCUUUUUAGUGGGUAUCUUGAUAAAUAAGAGUAUUUUGUAGUAAACUGUGUAUAUUUGUCAAUACAAAUGGUUGUUUAUCUAUGCUAGUGAUACGUUAUCCAUGUUUAGACCAUAUAAAACAUUACUUUAUAGAUAAAUUUCAAUUGAAAAGGAAAGAAUAUUUUUUUCAAGACGUUUUUACCUCCCCUUUUUAAACUGAUUUAAAAGGAGGUUCCAGGGCAGAUAUAGCGUGUCUCCUCCUCUUGUAGGAUUUGGGAUACCUUAAAGUAAUUUCAUGCAAAAUUUGGUGCUUUCUUCACAAACGGGAACAUCUUUGCAAUUUUUUGUUCCAUAUCUUACUCGCUAAUAUAGUAAUCGCAACUUGACCGCGAUGGUUGACCUUAGGCUGAUUAUUCAUUUCGAUUAUUUCAUUAUAGAAAUCAAGGGUCCUUAGGGUAGCCGUUUAUAUCUAUAUGGAAUUAGUCUGUAUACAGUGCAGUAUCAAAGUAUAUAUAUAUUUACAUUUGAUCAGUUAAAACUUUCCAACACAUUAAAUUAAAUUUAUAUUUACAAAAUUUAUAUUUCCUUUUUUCUCAUGAAGCUCGUGUUUUAAGUACACUCCUUUUCAAUAAUAGGUUGUGCCUCAUUAUGCAUUAUAAUGCAAAGGUCAACCAUCGGGGUCAAGUUGCGUCCACUAUACUGUAGCGUUUUGUUUUUGCGUGUUUAUAAAGCUGCACGAGUAGUGUCCCAUUAACAAUAAUAGCGACCCGUGUACUGGUACAUCUGUGAGGUGACAAAUUCUCUCAGGGGAAGACGCCGCGCUAAAUCGAUAAAAACGGGAAUUAUCGUAUUUUUAAGUAUAUUUCCAGGUAAACAAUUUAUACAGUUUUUAAGCAUUAAGGAAGCUUGUUGGAAAAACUGGAUGUCAGAAGGUGCCAUUAAGUUAAACGUGGAAGUCUAUACCGUAAUAAAAACCUCUGAAAGAUUCAAAUGUUUAUUUGAUUUGAUCUGCCAAUGAUGAUAUUCCCGUCGUUCAAGUACAGACAUACGCUUCAACAGUCUUACGAAAGGGGUCUCCAGCUUAUGAAUUGCAAGACUAGUGCAAGAUAAAAGCUUUCAACCAGUUCCUGAAACGUUUAUACAAAGCCAGACCUUGUGGGUCUUUGGUGGCUGAUUUAUGCUACCACCCGACAGUACAACAACACGACAGCAAAAUACAAAAACUGUCACCAGAGAAGUUUUAGGGAUGUUGCAAGAUUCUUUUUGAGAUGGCAACGGCUGUGAAAGGCAGAGUUCUGGAGUGAUUGGUUUUCGUUAAUUUUGUCCUCGGCGGAAAAAACCCAACUUAAAAGCAAUUUCAUGAUUAUAACAACCAUGUACAUAAUUUCUUGAACUAAUGAAGGGGAUCGGUGAUCUAGUGGUGUCGGCCGUUCAACCAGGAGGUCGUGGGUUCGAGCCUUACUGGAUUCACGACCAAGCCUUUUGGUAUGACACCAAUACUAGGUUUCGCUUAUUUGAAGAACCAUCACAACUUAGUGACCUACAUUGUUCUCCCAAAUGAACUUCGUAAGUCAUUCUGAUAAUACUAGUAUAACAGCUAGAAUACAAGAUAUCAGGGUGACAAUUUAGGCUCUCCUUGAAUAAAUGUCUUUUCACAGCUUCAUCUGCAAACUAAUUCAGUCAAACUCUUUUAAGUAUAGUUAAAAAGUCUUACUCACCCAAAAAAUGUUUAGACAUUUAACGCAUAGUCUUGGCUUUAUAUAUGUCAGUGUCAAAUUCUAAGUAGAAUUAUUUCUCAGUUUUACGUGCAAAUCACGUAUUAUUACCAUCAUGGAAACACAAUCCAUGGCGCGUCUUUGAAUGACAUCGCGUUACAUCAAACAUCGAAGGGCACCUGGCUGUUUAUUUAAUACAUUAUCGGACUAAUUGUGUGUUUAUGACCUGUGAAUGAGACACUUAAAGCCACUAACCUCCAGAUUUUGGCUGAAAAUUAACUUUCUUUAAAAUGUAAGUUUUGUCAUAUUAUAAACUUUAGAACAUAAGUUUUUGUUUUUUAACUAAAAAAAGUAUCUUAAAAACCGCCAAAAGAAGAAAACAGAACGUGCCCGAAUCGGAAAUCUAACCCGGGCUUCCACGGCAAUAAGAAUUUUCCUGCGUUCUUGACCAAUACACCACGGAGGCAUAAUCAGUUAAAGGCCGUUAAAUAUAAAGCUUUAUUAUUAAGGCCGUUUACCUCUAGUAUCCCGUUACAAACGCCUUUGAAUUGGAAUGGAAAAAUUAAAAAAAACUAAUUCUUAUAUGUGUUUUCAUAACAUAUUAUCUGUCAGUAACUGAGUUUCAAAGCCUUCUAAAGAAAUAUAGCAAUAAUUUUAUGAUAUCUAAACAUUUUUUUUUAUCGGUUUCUUUUGUUUUUUUGUUGUUUUUUUGUCGUACAAUCUGGAGGUCAGUGCCUUCAAGGGAUGGCAAAAAGUAUAAGAGAUGUCGAAUAUACAACUCAUUUGGAAAUUAAAAAUAAUCGACACAC